rnacentral:rRNA from 1 species
GAUUCGCGGCCUAUCAGCUUGUUGGUGCGGUGAGGGCGUACCAAGGCGAUGACGGGUAGCCGGCCUGAGAGGGUGAUCGGCCACACUGGGACUGAGACACGGCCCAGACUCCUACGGGAGGCAGCAGUGGGGAAUUUUGCGCAAUGGGCGGAAGCCUGACGCAGCGACGCCGUGUGGGGGAGGACGGCCUUCGGGUUGUAAACCUCUUUCGGCCCUGACGAAUGUGACGGUAGGGGCUAAAGAAGCGCCGGCUAACUACGUGCCAGCAGCCGCGGUAAUACGUAGGGCGCGAGCGUUGUCCGGAUUUACUGGGCGUAAAGGGCUCGUAGGCGGUUUGUCGCGUCGGUCGUGGAAAUGUCUGGCUUAACUGGGCACGUGCGGCUGAUACGGGCAGACUCGAGGGCGGUAGGGGCAAGCGGAAUUCCUGGUGUAGCGGUGAAAUGCGCAGAUAUCAGGAGGAACACCGAUGGCGAAGGCAGCUUGCUGGGCCGUUCCUGACGCUGAGGAGCGAAAGCGUGGGUAGCGAACAGGAUUAGAUACCCUGGUAGUCCAUGCUGUAAACGUUGGGCGCUAGGUGUGGGGACCAUUCUUGGUGUCCGUGCCGUAGCUAACGCAUUAAGCGCCCCGCCUGGGGAGUACGG